rnacentral:rRNA from 1 species
AUUUUUUAGAGUUUGAUCCUAGCUCAGGAUGAACGCUGGCGACGUGGAUAAGGCAUGCAAGUCAAAGGGCCCUUCGGGGCACUGGCAAACUGGGUAGUAACAAGUGGGAACUCGCCCUUAAGUCAUGAAUAGCUUCGAGAAAUCGGGGGUAAUACAUGAUAUCCCUUCGGGGGAAAGAUUUAUUGCUUAAGGAGAGGCCUGCUUAGUAUCAGCUUGUUGGUAGUGUAAAAGACUACCAAGGCUAUGACGCUUAGGGGAGGUGAGAGCCUGACCCCCACCAUUGGCACUGAGACACUGGCCAAACACCUACGGGUGGCUGCAGUCGAGAAUCUUCCGCAAUGCACGAAAGUGUGACGGAGCGACGUCGCGUGAUGGAUGAAGUCCUUAGGGGCGUAAACAUCUUUUAUGAGGGAGGAAGUUUAUUGACGUUACCUCAUGAAUAAGGAGUUGCUAAACUCGUGCCAGCAGCAGCGGUAAUACGAGUGCUCCAAGCGUUAUCCGGAAUCACUGGGCGUAAAGGGUCCGUAGGCGGUCUUGUUAGUCUUUUGUUAAAGCCCGGGGCUUAACUCCGGAUCGGCAAAGGAAACGGCAAGACUAGAGGUUGCGAGAGGUUGUUGGAACUCAUAGUGUAGGGGUGAAAUCCGUUGAUCUUAUGGGGAACACCAAAUGCGAAGGCAAACAACUGGCGCAUUCCUGACGCUGAGGGACGAAAGCGUGGGUCGCGAAUGGGAUUAGAUACCCCAGUAGUCCACGCCCUAAACGUUCUCAACUAGCUUUUCGGAGUAUCGACCCUCUGAGAGGCGAAGCUAACGCAUUAAGUUGAGCGCCUGGGUAGUACGAGCGCAAGCUUAAAACUCAAAGGAAUAGACGGGGACUUGCACAAGCGGUGGAUCAUGUGGCUUAAUUCGAUAGUAAACGAAGAACCUUACCAGGGUUAGAAACUUAUUCGACGAACUUCAGAAACGAAGUUUUUCUCACAAGGACGGAUAAGCAGGUGUUGCAUGGCCGUCGUCAGUUCGUGAUUUGAAUUGUUCCCUUAAGUGGGGUAACGAACGCAACCCUCAUUGCCUGUUAUAUGUGUCAGGCGAGACUGCCUCCGACAGGAGGAGGAAGGUGGGGAUGACGCCAGGUCAGCAUGACCCUUGAUACCCUGGGAUGCACACGUGAUACAAUGGCUGCCACAACAGGUUGCGACGGAGUAAUCCUGAGCUAAUCCUUAGAAAAGCAGCCCCAGUUCGGAUUGAGGUCUGAAAUUCGACCUCAUGAAGUCGGAAUCGCUAGUAAUCGCGGGUCAGCAUACCGCGGUGAAUACGUUCUCAAGUCUUGUACUCACUGCCCGUCAAGCCAAGGAAGCUGGGAGUGCCCGAAGUUCCCAUUUAUUGGGGCCGAAGGUAAAUUCAGUGACAAGGGUUAAGUCGUAACAAGGUACGGCUACCGGAAGGUGGUCGUGGAUUAUUUAAAAC